UACGAAGGGUGCAAGCGUUACUCGGAAUUACUGGGCGUAAAGGGAGCGUAGGCGGACAUUUAAGUCAGAGGUGAAAUCCCGGAGCUUAACUUCGGAACUGCCUUUGAUACUGGGUGUCUUGAGUGUGAGAGAGGUAUGUGGAACUCCGAGUGUAGAGGUGAAAUUCGUAGAUAUUCGGAAGAACACCAGUGGCGAAGGCGACAUACUGGCUCAUUACUGACGCUGAGGCUCGAAAGCGUGGGGAGCAAACAGG
rnacentral:rRNA from 1 species